rnacentral:sRNA from 1 species
CAGGGCCAGGAGUCUUGUGUGUGGGGGCCUUCAUUCUCCCAGAGACGUAGGCCCUGCACACUGUUGGCCCCAUAUCUGGGUUCCCAGAGGUGGAAUGAGUUGGCCGAGGUCACACAGCCAGGAGGGAUCUGGGAUCUGAAUCCAGGUCUGCUUGGCCCCAUGGCCUGUGUGCAUCCCCUCAGCCAGGGUUUACCAGACACAGGGUCCUUACCUCUGCCUUCAGCCGAGCCACUAAGGACCCGUUUGCACCAUCCCGGGUUGCGGGUGUCCUGGGCUUUGCUGCCACCCACAACCUCUACUCAAUGAACGACUGUGCCCACAAGAUCCUGCCUGUGCUCUGCGGUCUCACUGUAGAUCCUGAGAAAUCUGUGCGAGACCAGGCCUUCAAGGCCAUUCGGAGCUUCCUGUCCAAAUUGGAGUCUGUGUCGGAGGACCCGACCCAGCUGGAGGAAGUGGAGAAGGAUGUCCAUGCAGCCUCCAGCCCUGGCAUGGGAGGA